CCAGCUGUGGCCGCAUCCCUGUCGGCUAGCUCGGGUCUGGCCCACGGUGACUGUUACCCCUGGGGAAUGGGGCAGGUAAGAAUCAGAGCCAAGCGGGGACCCAGCCCGGGGAGGUGAAGCUGCAGGUGCAGCCACGUGUGGGAGUCUUGGAAAUGGACCAGUGGAUGGCGCGCUGUCACACCCAAUGCCCCCUUUUUCUAACAAAUAGUUUGUAAUGUCCAUCUUAUUCUCCUGACCUGAUAUUCAUAUAUAAUGGCCUAGAAAAUCAUACAUAACAUACACACCUACAUAUUAAAAACUAAUGUUAUGCCUUAAGUGUAAUGAAAGAGAAAAAAAAGAGGACCGUCAUCUGUCGUUUAAAAACACAUACUUCAAUGUGUUUGGUCUUGGCUGCUGCAGGAGACCUAAUAAGGUGGUCGCCUUUACACAUAGACGUUGUCUGAGUGCCACAGCCACAAAGCUGUGACUUACAUUGUUGCAAAAGUCACAAAAUUAUGAUCCAAAAUGGCAAACAUGUUUUCGUGAAGUUCUGAAUGAAACACAGGACAAUCGUCUCUUGAUUAUACAAUAAUUACAUUCCUGGAAGAUCAGUGUAUGUUAAAACUGUGCAAAAAUACAUGUUUAUCCAGAAAACAGGUUUAGAUUCAGAUAAUUUAGAAAUAGAAUUUUCACCUACCUGAAUGUUCAGCAAGACAUUUGAAAGUGUGAACAUUUUUUCAGUGGGCAGGACUGUCCUGUACAUUGCAGGAUCCUGGCUCCUAUCCACAACGCUAGUAGCAAUGUUACCACUGACACCAAAUAUAACAAAAUACCUACCAUAAAAUUCCAAAAUGAGCCCUGGGGGAAGGGAGACAGUACUAAAUGCCACUGGAUUGGACGACCCUUAAAAUCCCCACCCCCUCACACACCCCCUAACCCUGGUAAUGUGGGCUUUUCUUCCUUCCAGCUCUGAUCCAUCCAACGCUGCUGCACUGGAGACUGGGUCAGAAAUCAGGAGUGAGGACUUGUUGAAAGAAAUAGGAAGGAAUCAGAUCACAUAAAUGCUGGCCCCAAAUGUUUGCAUCAUAAACCCAUUGCCUAAUUUUACAGUUGAGAAAAUAAAGCUCUCUAAAUAACCACAAAGCUCCUACUCCUACUUCAGACAUAUCAGAAAAAUGAGAUAAUAAUGCACAAACCAAGUUUCAAAAGCUCUAUGGUAGGUCUGGAGAGAUGGAGAUCAGUUCUUGUCUGUCAGCCCCUGUUCUUCCAUUCUUAUAAGGUUACAGAAUCUCUAGCAAGGGACAUGACAGCUCAGGGAAAAAGCACACAUUUCCCAGCAUUCUUUAAGGCAAAGUGUGUCCAUGUGACCAACUUCUGGCAAACAGGCUGUAAGAAAAUGUGAUGCUGUGUCCUUAAAGACAAGGGACAUGCCCUCCCUGCCCCCAAACCUUCAUCGACCAGGUGGAAUGUUGACAAGGGAGAGCAUCAGAGCAUCUUGGACCAUGUGAAUAAGGGUGUGGCUGCUGGGGAUGACAGAGCAACUAAAAGGAGGAGGCACAGAGCUGCUAUAUCAGCCCCAGAUGGCUUACUUUCUGAUGAUACAUGAGAGAGAAAUAAACUUUCAUCAAAUUUAAACCACAUUUAUUUGGGUUCUUCAAAUUAAUUUCCAAGCCCAUAGCCUAACUAAUACCCCUAGAAAUGAGGAAGGAUGGAAAAAUCACACAACACAAGAGUUAAAAAAUUAAGCUGGCUCUUCGACUACAGCAUUCUAGAAGUUCAUUUCCAUGCUGGGCCUGCAGCCAUGUAGUGUCAGUUUCCUCCUGCUCAGCUCUAAGGCUUCUUCUCCUGCACCCUUUGUCCCUGCAGCCCCAAGACCUCUCUAAAGCCCUUCCUCUCUGACCACCAGGGAAAGCUGACAAUCUUCUCAUGUUAAAAAAAAUCUUUUUUGUUGGCCAGGCGUGGUGGCUCACACCUGGAAUCCCAGCACUUUGGCAGGCUGAGGUGGGGGGAGUUACCUGAGGUUGGGAGUUCGAGACCAGCCUGACUAACGUGGAGAAACUCUGUCUCUACUAAAAAUACAAAAUUAGCCAGGCGUGGUGGCGCAUGCCUGUAUUCCCAGCUACUCGGGAGGCUGAGGCCAGAGAAUCGCCUGAACCCAGGAGGCGGAAGUUGUGGUGGGCUGAGAUAGCGCCAUUGCACUCCAGCCUGGGCGACAAGAGCGAAACUCCGUCUCAAAAAAGAAAAAAUAUUUCUUGUUGUUUCCAGUUUUAAUAGGACAGAGUAAAGAUGGCUUUGCCUGCUUCUUCUCAUGAAAACUGUGGCAAAACAACUGUCUGGUUGAUGUUCAUUCCAGGAGUUCAAGGCUGUUUUCAGGCUACAAAAUUUUUACCUACUUAUUGAUGUUGUGAGUUCUGUGAAUAAAUCAUUUAAUCUAUGUGGAGAAAUGUACUAGGGUAGGGCAAGGUCUUAUUCUCAAAGCAACCAAACAUAUAUAGGAAUAAGUUUACUAAUAAAUGUAUAAGACAUAUAUCAAGAAAAUUUUAAACAUUUGGGGACUAAACCAAUGAAAACCCCUUGUGUAAAUGGAAAGGCACAGGUAAUCCUUCAGUAGGAAGGGUAGUUUUCUUUAUUUAAUCCAUAAGUCCAACGUCAUACCAAAUAAAACCCCUAUAGGAUUUGUUUUAAAACUUGUGAAAAUGAUUCUAAAAUUUACGCAGAAAAAAUGUUAGAAGUGACUGGACAGUGCCUCAUGCCUAUAAUCCCAGCACUUUGAGAGGCCAACGUGGACAGAUCACCUGAGCUCAGGAGUUCAAGACCAGCCUGGCCAACAUGGUGAAACCUUGUCUUUACUAAAAAUACAAAAAUUAGCCCAGCGUGGUGGCGCACACCUGUAAUCCCAGCUACUGGGGAAGCUGGGGCAGGAGAAUUGCUUGAACCCGAGAGGCGGAGGUUGUAGUGAGCCAAGAUCAUGCCACUGCACUCCAGCCUGGGUGACAGAAUGAGACUCCGUCAAAAAAAAAAAGAGAGAGAGAAGGAGAGAGAAAGAAAGAAAGAGAGAGAGAAAGAGAAAGAAAGAGAAAGAAAGGAAGGAAGGAAGGAAAGAAAAUGUUAGAUGCUUAUAAGGUACUACUGAAACUUAAGAAAGCACAAGUAUUGAAAGUCAAAGAAUGGAAAAUAGAUAUAUCAGACAAGUAUUAAGGGAAAGGGAAAAUGGCACAGCUAUAUUAAUAUCUCACAACAAUAAGUUUAAGACAAUAAAUAUUACGCAGAAUUCAGUUGAGGGCAAUGUAGCAAAUAAUAUAAACUAGAAUCUAGAAAUUUAGAAUAAGAUAUAAUAUUCGACAUCAUUUUAAAUACUUAACUCACAGGAAAGUGUACCCACGUACCAAAACCAAACAAGAAACUAAAACCAGAGGCAUUGGUUUGGACUGAGGACCUCAGCUGAUGCUUUGGCCAACAGGGGUGGGAAUGGUGAAGAGUUGUAAGUCUUGAUAUCUGAGAAAGCAGAAUUAUAAUAUGCAGGAGGCAUAUUACAGGAACAAGGAAUAGGAACAGAGACUUUUCUCACACACAUACACUCAUCCAAUCAUGAAAGGAUAAAUUUUUUAAAAAUCUCAUGAACAAAGAGAGAUAACAAAGAAUCUUAUGGUCCUUGCCUAAGCUUUGAAGUGGUAGUAGAAAUGUCUUCUAAAAAUUUAUAAUCAUAGUUUGCAUCAUUAAGUAUAGAGUUUAAAUUAAUACUAUCUACUUGGACCAGUAAUUCAUAAUCCAAGAAAUUACAUUAAAAACUAAUCCUGAUAGACUUCUGAAAUAGUCACAACAGAAUUAGUAGGCAAUGACAUUUAAAAGUUAUUACAACCAUAUCUGAUACAUCUAAAAGUUUGGUGGAGAAAUGAAACAUAUAAAAAAGACCCAAAUCAAACUUCUAAAGAUAAAAACCUAUAAUGUGCAAUAAAAAUACAUUGGAUGGGAUUAACGGCAGAUUAGACAUUACAGAAAAAAGAUGAGUGAAUUUGAAGACAUAGCAACAGAAACUAUUCAAAAACAAACACAGAGAAAAGAAAAUUAAAAAUAAAUGUACAGGACUGAGAAGUCCUGAUUUCUUCACCUACUAGCUAUGAGACCUUGGACAACCACUUAGCUUUUCUGAAAUUCCAAUGAUUCAUCUGAAAAAUGAGAUAAUAGUUCACAGUUGUUGUAAAUACUACACAUAAUGUUUUGCUUAAAGUACAUACAACAGGGACCAGGAUUCAGUAGUUGCUCAAUUAAUGUUAACUUUUCCCCUCCUCUAAAUUAUUUGUGGACCUGAUUACACUUUUUUAUUUGUCAGUAAUGAAGUUAGUAAUGCAUAAGUUUGUAAAUAUGACAUAUUAUAAGUAGGAGAAAGACCUACAGUGCCAAACUCCUUCAAAGUUUUUUGUGCAUAACCUCACAGAAACAUGCUAACAACAAUCAAGUUCGGAAGAUUUUUACCACAGAGAAAGCAGAUCCAAUCCAUUGUAUGUUUCUGAAAAUAGGUUAACAGGUGGGGGUUAGCACGUGAGGAGAGGGCAUGAAAAAGAAUCAAGCAGCCUGUCUCCAAAUGAAUACAACAUACCUUCUUUCUCACAUGUAUUGCCUGAUAAUUUGCUUAUAUGUGCCUAGGAAGAGCCCUGAGCAUUCUUCCUUACAUAGUAUGACCAGGUAUUACACAUUUUCCCCUAACUUGAAGGACGUUGGCCUCUGGCAUAACACAAUGAUACUAGGUACCAAUCCCAUAGACCUCCCAAGGGAAUCGGUCCAAUUAUCAGCUCUGAUGCUGAAGUUUCUAGAAGGAAGAGAAAGAAUCUCAACCCCCACCGUGUCAUAAAGAACCUUGUAAAAGACUGCUGAUUUUAGAGGAUUACAAUUGCCAGGUACACCGGAGUGGAAAGCCCCAAGAAAUUAACAGUGACCACUACAACCUGUGUUUAGUGUCAUCCAGGUACAAAGGACAGCAGUAGAAAACAGAGAAGCCGUGGUGCUGUCCAAGGUGCUAGCUCCGACUCAGUGGGGGGGGGGGGGGGGGUGUGUCUGUGGCGCUCUCCAAGGUUCUGGGGCUGGCCUCAGAACCAUUGUCCUCCAACCUGGUGUGUUGGUCCCCUCUGACUAUAUAUGUGUGUGUGUUUUUGAGGAGUCUCACUCUUGUCACCCAGUCUGGAGUGCAGUGGCACGAUCUCAGUUCACUGCAACCUCCACCUCCCGGGUUCAAGCGAUUCUCUGGCCUCAGCCUCCCGAGUAACUGGGAUUACAGGCGCCCACCACUACACCUGGCUGAUUUUUGUAUAUUUAGUAGAGAUGGGGUUUCACCAUAUCGACCAGGCUGGUCUCGAACUCCUGACCUCAGGUGAUCCACCUGCCUUGGCCUCCCAAAGUGCUGAGAUUACAGGCAUUAGCCACCAUGCCCAGCCUCCCUCUGGCUAUAUUUUAAGCCUGAUAUCCAAAUACUUAAUCUCACCCUAUUCCUUUCUUUGAAUUCAUUUGGUCAGAACCUGACACGUAUCACCCAGUGCCCCAGUUCCUACUUGUCUUCUCUAUCACUCUGCCUCAAAAUCCAGAGAUUCCAAGGAUGAUAAUUUAUUGUGGGCCCAAAUGGCUAAGAGAGGCUCUUCUGGGAAGCUUUCUUACAUCAUAUAAAUUUUUGUUAACAUGAAUUAUUUGUAUUUGAAAGAUUUAAAAGACAAGGAAGCUAUGUAUUGUUCUUGUUGUUAACAAUAAAUUACCUCAACACUAUUUGAACAUAAUAAAAAUGUAAUAAAACCUGAAA